CUCUCCAAAUGUUUCCCCCUUUCUUUUUCAAAUGUACUCUUUCUCCAGAAAACCUAAAACCUAGAAUGCUCCCUCUUGCUCCUCCUUCGAUUCUCUCAAUCACAACAUUAUUCUUGCAACCGAAUUCAAGUGUGGUAGUUGCAUUUUGAUCGUUUCACCAUCACGACAUUGGACGGUUCGAGCUUGUGAAAACCUUGAUUACUUUGUCUGUCUGAGCCUCUAGCUGUGGUUGUCCUUCUCUGGAGCUCUCUUCCGUCUGGCUGUCCCUGUUCGAGUCCUCUCCACUUUCGCUGUCUAUCGCGCUUUGGUUCUUUGUCCUCUCACUGUCUGGAGUUGUGUCGUUCAUCAAACACUAUUGUUGGGUUCGGUGCUGAAAGAGUACCUUCAACUGCCAUGGUUGGAGGGUUAGGAAGCAUCCGUUGCGGCUACUGUGUGGCGGUUUAAGAAGAUUAAGGACGAAGACAUAUACUGUUUGGAGUUUCGAAGGCCUUUAGUGAAGGAAAAAAAGAUGGCAUUGCAGAUAAAACUGGACAGGAGUAGCUGAUGUGAGAGUUGGGACAUUUGAGUUCGGGGAUUUAUUUUUUAUUUUAAAAGUUUUCCAGUUUGAUUUUUGUAUGUAAAAGUGAGAUUCUAAGAUUUUCAAACGAUAUUUAUAGUCAUGAUUUAAUUUCGCCUUUGAA